AGCUCCAAUAGCGUAUAUUAAAGUUGUUGCGGUUAAAAAGCUCGUAGUUGGAUUUCUGUUGAAAGCAGCCGGUCCGCACUACGUGCGUGUAUCUGGUUUGGUUUCGGCAUCCUCUCGAAACACGCUACUGUGCUUGAUUGCAUGGUGCGGGGUUCGGGACUUUUACUUUGAGGAAAUUAGAGUGUUCACGGCAGGCAAUCGCCUUGAAUAUAUUAGCAUGGAAUAAUAAUAUAGGAUCUGAUGCCUAUUUUGUUGGUUUCUAGGUGUUAGAUAAUG
rnacentral:rRNA from 1 species